CCAGCCACUUCUGGGCAGCCAAAGCUUACAAAGCUUACAUCUGCUGCCUCAAAUGGAAUUGGAGAUUGGAUCCGCCAGUCACAUCACAUAUAUCAGCAAGGAAAAGCGGUGAUGCGUUGUCGAUUUCCGGGAACUUGGGGAUGAUGCCCAAGCCGGAAGAUGUGAUGGCAUCAAUCUGGUUUUCUGUUCGGGACCUAACAGGAAGCAAACCAACAAAUGGGUCCCGUAUGUUGGCUGUACAACGCACGGAUUUGUGCAGACUUCCCAAUAACAGCGAUGGGAAAAGGCGCUGGUCAUGAUAACACUGCCAGGUAUCUGAAAUAUCGGCAGUAGCCUUAAAAUGGGAUUUUACAUAGUGUCUGACGAUCGUUUUCAA
rnacentral:sRNA from 1 species